rnacentral:rRNA from 1 species
GCUUACGGCCAUACCAACCUGGCUAUGCCCGAUCUCGUCUGCUCUCCGAAGCUAAGCAGGUUUGGGCCUGGUUAGUACUUGGAUGGGACACCGCCUGGGAAUACCAGGUGCUGUAAGCU